CCUGGGUGCCAACCAGUCUCUCCACAGUGUGUGAGAGAGGGCGGGAAGGUGCAGAGUAGCCGGGUAUCUCUCGGCGGCAGGAAGAAGCCAGCAGGAAGUAGAGGCAUCAUUUGAGGAAUUUGUCAAGACUGGAGAAAUGGAAGGAGGGGAAGCCGACGGUCCAAGUUCACCUGCCCAGGAGCGUGCAGUCAUGGUGCGCAUGAGCAAAAGGAAGACUAGACUUGAUUGGUGGAGCGGUCUGGACUUCCCGUCCCAGCCAAUCCAGAUGCGUCCGAGGGGUGGGGCCUGGCCCUCACUGGCGGAAGCGGCGUUUGCGCGCGAGUUUCGUCGUGUGUCCGCGGUGCGCGCGAGUCGUUCUCGGCGCCAUGGAGUCGGGGCUGAUCCGGCGUUUAGCGGCGCGCUUGGGUAUCGCCGAGCCAGAUGUGCUGAGGAAAGCAGAGGAGUACUUGCGACUGUCCCAGGUGAACUGUAAUGGCCUGUCUGCACAUACCACGGAAACCAGCAAUGCAGUCAUGUGCCUGGACCUUGCAGCUUCCUGUAUGAAGUGCCCCUUGGACAGAGCUUAUUUAAUUAAACUUUCUGGUUUGAACAAGAAGAUGUAUCAGAGCUGUCUUAAAUCUUUUGAGUGUUUACUGGGCCUGAAAUCAAAUAUUGGAAUAAGAGACCUAGCUGUCCAGUUUAGCUGUACAGAAGCAGUGAACAUGGCUUCAAAGAUAUUGCAAAGCUAUGAAUCCAGUCUUCCACAAACACAGCAGUUGGAUCUCGACUUAUCCAGGCCGCUUUUCACCACUGCUGCAUUACUUUCAGCAUGCAAGAUUCUAAAGCUAAAGGUGGAUAAAAAUAAAAUGGUAGCCACAUCUGGUGUAAAAAAAGCCAUAUUUGAUCGACUAUGUAAACAAUUAGAGAAGAUUGGGCAGCAGGCUGAUAUAGAAGCUGGAGAUUUAGCUACUUCACCACAGAAGAAAAAGAAGACAAUGGCUGAACCUUUAGCAAAGGAAACAGAGAAGGUGGUAGAAAGCUCACAUAAACUGCCAAAAGAUGAAGAUCUGACACAGGAUUAUGAAGAAUGGAAAAGGAGAAUUUUGGAAAAUGCUGCCAAAGCACAAAAGGCUACAACAGAGUGAUUUCAGCUUCUCGACUACCUUGGUUUGCAAACUACCACCUGCCGCCUCAAUGAAGAUGUUACCCUUGUCAUCAGUUUGGGAGAGUCAUUGCUGUGACAAAAGCUGUCUACUCUAGUAGAAAAAAGCCAUAUGCUGAACUAUACUGCUCACCAGACGACAAACUCUCAAAUCAGACUUCCUGGGUUUACGACCCUGCUCAGCCACUUACUACCUGUCAAACCUUGAGCAAGUUAAUUAACUUCAUUCUACCUCAUCUAUAAAUAGGACUAAAAAUGACGUCUACUUCAUGGAAUAAUUUGGAGUUGCAUCUGAGCUGAUACAUGUAAAACAUUUAGCACAGUACCUGGUAUAAGUAAGUAUUUAGCAAGUGUUAAAAUAUAGAGAGAAAUUCACAUAUAAAAUGGUCUCACGUAAUGAAUUACACAUUAGCAGCAUAUUAAAAAGUCAGAUGGACUGAGGGUUAUUUUCUUUGACAUGCACAUACUGAAAAAUGUAACCUAUAAAUACUCCCUAUUUUAAAACUGUAAGAUAGGACCUUUGUGGAAGAUAAGUUGCUAGGAGCUCUGAGGCAUCAUGCCAGGUAUGAUCUUAACUAAAAUCAAGAAUACAUGGUCUAAUUAAAUAUUUCCAUAUAGAAUGUAAUAAAGAGACUACAUCCAAAUUUUAAAAACCUAUUCAGAAUGGUAUCAGCAAUACCAGUGUUUGCAUUUUAUCUGCUAUAUGUAAGGCAUAACACCUGCUGCAUAGACCUGGAGUGCUAAAAGAGUGAUUUCUCUUCGUCCCCUGUCCUUUUUAAUUCUAGAUUCUAAGCAGCUAAGGUGAAAGAAAUGUCACAGUUAAUGAUCCCAAUGCAGGCCUAAUGUCCAGCGCCCUAUGGUAGAGGGGAAUGAACAUGAGUUUUGAAUGCAAUUACAGUGCAUUUAAAUUCUGACUGUGCCACUUCUACCCUAUGGAAAUUUCAAGAUCGUAAAGAGCCUCAGUUUCCUCAUUUAUAAAGUAGAGAUAUUUUCUACCUUGUAAGGAUUAAAGUAGUAUUUCUAAAGUACCUGGCACUUAGAAGGCCUUCACUAAACAGUAGUUCUUGUUAUUACUUUGAUCUAAAAUGGAUAAGUGAGUUUUUUCCUCACUUAUUUAUUUAUGAAGGUUUUAUUUAUUUGAGAAAGAGUACAAGCAGCGGUGGGCGGCGGGGGGGGACAGGGGAGGAGCUGAGGGAGAAGGACAAGGACAAGCACACUCUUUGCGGAGCCCUGCAUUCAUGGGUCUCAGUCCCUCAACCCCAAGAUCAUGACCUGAGCCGAAAUCCAGAGUUGGACGCUUAACCAGCUGAGCCACCCAGGCGCCUCUUUUCCUCAUUUAUUUUAAGAAAGUGUAUAAUUUUUUUAUUUGGUGCCAGGAUUUAGAUUUCUGCUUUGAGUCAAAAGCAAUCUACUCGUUACCAAGUAAAAUUAGGCACAUUCACUUUUUUUUUAAUUAUUGUAAAAUGCACCUAACGUAAAAUUUACCAUCUUAACCAUUUUUAAGUGUACAGUUCAGUAGUGUUAAGUACAUUCACAUUGUUAUGCAACCGAUCUCCAGAGCUCUUUCAUCUUGCAUAGCUGACUGCAGCCAUUAAACAGCUCUCUGUACCUCCCUCCCCCGGCCCCUGGCAAUUACCGUACUGUUUAUGUCUGAAUUUGUAUUAUUUUUUUUUUAAGAUUUUAUUUAUUUGACAGAGAGAGACACAGCAAGGGAGGGAACACAAGCAGGGGGAGUGGGAGAGGAAGAAGCAGGCUUCCCACCGAGCAGGGAGCC